rnacentral:ncRNA from 2 species
AGGGAACGGGCUUGGCAGAA